rnacentral:rRNA from 1 species
GACGAACGCUGGCGGCGUGCUUAACACAUGCAAGUCGAACGGAAAGGCCCCUUUGGGGGUACUCGAGUGGCGAACGGGUGAGUAACACGUGAGUAACCUGCCCUUGACUUCGGGAUAACUUCAGGAAACUGGGGCUAAUACCGGAUAGGAAUCCUUGCUGCAUGGUGGGGGUUGGAAAGCUUCGGCGGUUUUGGAUGGACUCGCGGCUUAUCAGCUUGUUGGUGGGGUAGUGGCUUACCAAGGCUUUGACGGGUAGCCGGCCUGAGAGGGCGACCGGCCACAUUGGGACUGAGGUACGGCCCAGACUCCUACGGGGGGCAGCAGUGGGGAAUAUUGCACAAUGGGCGGAAGCCUGAUGCAGCAACGCCGCGUGCGGGAUGACGGCCUUCGGGUUGUAAACCGCUUUCAGCAGGGGCGAAGCUUGUGGUGACGGUACCUGCAGAAGAAGCACCGGCUAACUACGUG